rnacentral:rRNA from 1 species
UAUGAGAGUUUGAUCCUGGCUCAGGACGAACACUGGCGGCGUGCCUAAUACAUGCAAGUCGAACGCUUCUUUUUCCACCGGAGCUUGCUCCACCGGAAAAAGAGGAGUGGCGAACGGGUGAGUAACACGUGGGUAACCUGCCCAUCAGAAGGGGAUAACACUUGGAAACAGGUGCUAAUACCGUAUAACAAUCAAAACCGCAUGGUUUUGAUUUGAAAGGCGCUUUCAGGUGUCGCUGAUGGAUGGACCCGCGGUGCAUUAGCUAGUUGGUGAGGUAACGGCUCACCAAGGCCACGAUGCAUAGCCGACCUGAGAGGGUGAUCGGCCACAUUGGGACUGAGACACGGCCCAAACUCCUACGGGAGGCAGCAGUAGGGAAUCUUCGGCAAUGGACGAAAGUCUGACCGAGCAACGCCGCGUGAGUGAAGAAGGUUUUCGGAUCGUAAAACUCUGUUGUUAGAGAAGAACAAGGAUGAGAGUAACUGUUCAUCCCUUGACGGUAUCUAACCAGAAAGCCACGGCUAACUACGUGCCAGCAGCCGCGGUAAUACGUAGGUGGCAAGCGUUGUCCGGAUUUAUUGGGCGUAAAGGCCCAAAGGUUCCCUCAGAAUGGUUGGAAAUCAUUCGAAGAGUGUAAAGGCAGAAGGGAGCUUGAACUGGGAGACUUGAGUGCAGAAGAGGAGAGUGGAAUUCCAUGUGUAGCGGUGAAAUGCGUAGAUAUAUGGAGGAACACCAGUGGCGAAGGCGGCUCUCUGGUCUGUAACUGACGCUGAGGCUCGAAAGCGUGGGGAGCAAACAGGAUUAGAUACCCUGGUAGUCCACGCCGUAAACGAUGAGUGCUAAGUGUUGGAGGGUUUCCGCCCUUCAGUGCUGCAGCUAACGCAUUAAGCACUCCGCCUGGGGAGUACGACCGCAAGGUUGAAACUCAAAGGAAUUGACGGGGGCCCGCACAAGCGGUGGAGCAUGUGGUUUAAUUCGAAGCAACGCGAAGAACCUUACCAGGUCUUGACAUCCUUUGACCACUCUAGAGAUAGAGCUUCCCCUUCGGGGGCAAAGUGACAGGUGGUGCAUGGUUGUCGUCAGCUCGUGUCGUGAGAUGUUGGGUUAAGUCCCGCAACGAACGCAACCCUUAUUGUUAGUUGCCAUCAUUCAGUUGGGCACUCUAGCAAGACUGCCGGUGACAAACCGGAGGAAGGUGGGGAUGACGUCAAAUCAUCAUGCCCCUUAUGACCUGGGCUACACACGUGCUACAAUGGGAAGUACAACGAGUUGCGAAGUCGCGAGGCUAAGCUAAUCUCUUAAAGCUUCUCUCAGUUCGGAUUGCAGGCUGCAACUCGCCUGCAUGAAGCCGGAAUCGCUAGUAAUCGCGGAUCAGCACGCCGCGGUGAAUACGUUCCCGGGCCUUGUACACACCGCCCGUCACACCACGAGAGUUUGUAACACCCGAAGUCGGUGAGGUAACCUUUUUGGAGCCAGCCGCCUAAGGUGGGAUAGAUGAUUGGGGUGAAGUCGUAACAAGGUAGCCGUAUCGGAAGGUGCGGCUGGAUCACCUCCUUU